UACUUAGACAGACUAUGAAGAGAUACAUAGGGUGAGAAACGGAGGCCUUCAGCCAACAGCUGGGAGAAGCUGAGUCCCAUCAGCCAUUCAAAAGACUGCAGCCCCAGCCAAGAGUUUGAUGUAACCUCAGGAGAGACCCUGAGCCAGAACCACCUAGAAAUCUCCAAGUGAGAAGACCUUACUUGUCUUCUGAAAGUCUGGCCAACGAGCUAUACCUAGUGAUUCCAAAGUCCACAUAUAUUUACUCUGUUCUCACUGUACAAAGUAACCACUCUGAAGUCAAAAAAGCUGGGAUACAUGAAGACUGCCAUCCCUUGAGUCACUUGCCCUGUAGCUGCCACUGUUGGAAAAGGGCUUGCUUCUGUGUCCUUGUGCCCACUUUGAAAAUCCCUGGGAAGUCCUUGGAGUCAGAUGAGCAGGCCUCCGCCACUCUGCCAAAAAGUCUGUUCAGAGUCCCCAACCCCUGAGCCAUGGACUGAUAUGGAGCUAUGGUCUGUUAGGAACUGGGCUGCCCAGGAGGAGCAAUGGUGCUUCUACAAUUUCCUUAUAGGAGGAGUGAAGAGUAAGCAUUUGGAUUGGACCAGGAUUUGGAGAACUUGUCAUGUUGCUCUACGUGCAUAUGAAAUACAUCAUUGUAACUUAGAAUGUGAAUUACAGAACAAACAUGAAAGUUAGAAAAA
ensembl:lncRNA novel transcript